AGAAGAGAGAAUCUCAGGAGCAGAAGAUUCCAUAGAAAUCAUCGACACAACUGUCAAAGAUAAUGUAAAAUGGAAAAAGCUACUGGUCCAAAACAUACAGGAAAUCCAGGACACAAUGAGAAGAUCAAACCUAAGGAUAAUAGGUAUAGAAGAGAGUGAAGACUCCCAACUCAAAAGACCACAGAAAACAGUAUCAACUAUCUGGAUAGCCACCAAGAGCAGACCAGUUUUAUAGUCAAUGAUGAAUUCGUACAGAUACGGCCACAUCUUUUUGAGCAGAGUCAGCGUCAUCCCUGAGACAUGAUGGUGAAGGUUGGAAAGAACAGGACUUAUUGGGUGUCUGCUUACCAGGGCUGCCUGCUACUCUGCAAGGUGGAGAUUGCUGCCAUCAAUGACUCCUUCACUGACCAGUAUAUGGUAUACAUGUUCCAGCAUGACUUUACAACACUGUUACUUCCACAGCACAAUCAUGGUUGAAAAGGGGAAGUGGGUCAUCAAUGGGAAGGCCAUUUCCAUCUUUCAGGAGGGAAAUCCAGCCAAGAUCAAUCGAGUUGAUGCUGGAGCUCAGAGUACUGCAGAGGCUAUUAGUGUCUUACCUGCUAUGGAGAAGGCUGAGGCCCACUUGAAGAGUGGAACUUUGCAAAGGUUAUUUCUGUCCCUCCUGCUAAUGUUCCUAUUUUUCUAAGGAUUGCUUACCGUGAGAAAUGACAACUCACUCAACCUUGUCAUCAAUGCUUCCUAUACCACCAAUAGCUUUGUCCUUCUGGCAGACAACUUCAGCAUUGUGGAAAGACCCAUGACCGCAGUCUAUGCCAGCAUUGCUAUCCAGAAGACUGUGGAUGGGCCCUCUGGAAAAGUGUGGUGUUAUGGCAACAUAUAGCUAUCUAGAACAUGAUCACUGCAUCCACUGGGGCUGUCACAAGGUUAUAGGCCUGGUCAUCCAAGAUCUGAAUAGAAAGCUAGGAUACUGGCAUGACCUACUAAGUUCCUACCCACAAUGUGGCCAUUGUGGAUUUGACAUGCUGCAGAGGAAAGCUGCUAAGUACAAUGGCAUCAAGAAGAUGAUGAAACAGGUAGUAUAGGAUCUACUAACAUGGUCUGGUCUACACUGAGGACCAGAUUGCCUUCUGAGGCUUUCAUAGUGACACUCACUCUUCCAUCUUCAUAGCUGGGGUGGAAUUGCUCUCUAUAGUAACUUUGUAAAGCUCAUUUCAUGUUUUGACAGUGAAUAUAGCUACAGCAACAGGAUGAAGGGCUUCAUGAGCUUCACAGCCUUCAAGGAGAAAGAAACCCAGGACUACCCACUCUGGCAAGAACACAAGAGAAAGAGAGAGGUCCUCGGGUGCUGCUAGUUCCUUGUCCUAACUCAGUCUGCAUCCCAAUUCUGUCCCCCACCCUGAGUACCUUCCUUUACAAUUUCCAUCCCAACCCUCCCAAAGGGGAGGGAGUUAAAAAGCCCUACUUUCUUGACCACAAUGAAUAAAAUUUAUUGCACCCACUUACCACCCCCAAAGAAAAAUCUCAGUGGAAAAGUAAAUGAAGGGAAUAAAAGUUCUACUGUAAAGUGCAAAAUUUCAGUAAGUAGACAAAUACGUUUUACUUCAUAAAGACUUGAAAUAAGGAUGAAUAGCCUCAGGAGAUGAUUAAAAUUGUUUUAAGUGACAAGCCACACUUAAGACGAACUUGGGAAUGCUUGGGAUAGUUUUCAAAUAAAUUGGAAAUAACAAAGGCCGGUUAACAUUGCUGCCAAACAUGGGUUCUGCCAAGG